UGAUCGAUGAGGUGAUUGGUUUAUUGAUCCCGACAGAUGGGCGGUAGUGGAUGCGUCUCCAUCAGCGGCUGCUCUUCACCUCUGCAGUCAACAUUACCCGGAAGCUAACCGCGCAGAGGCUCCAUCACCACACAAACGACCGGCGGCGGCGGAGGGGAUGCGGUCGAAGCCGGACGCCAUCCUCCAGCAGACGGACGGACACCGGAAACCGCCACGCAGCGACCCGCUGCCGCUGUGCUGCAGCAGCUACAGCCGCUUCAUGUCGGAGGAGAACCUGGAAGUGGCUAAAAAGGAGCCCUGGCGGCAAUAAUCGCCUUUCAGCUUCCGUAAAAUUGCUUUCAAACUAACACAAAGGCGAUCUGGAGCUGGUUAAAAUAUUAUGAGGUGUAGUACCCGCUUUUGAACACCAGGGGUCGUUGUAUCACCCAAUGUAACCGCAACCUAGUUAAAAACCACUCGGUUGUUUUAAAGUCCUGCUACUAUUUUCUUAUUUGUAAACCAAUAAAGUAUAACUUCUCAA